rnacentral:rRNA from 1 species
GAGCGGAAGGCUCCUUCGGGGGUACUCGAGCGGCGAACGGGUGAGUAACACGUGAGUAAUCUGCCCUGCGCUCUGGGAUAGCCACCGGAAACGGUGAUUAAUACCGGAUAUGACCGCUACACGCAUGUGUUGGUGGUGGAAAGUUUUUCGGCGCAGGAUGUGCUCGCGGCCUAUCAGCUUGUUGGUGAGGUAAUGGCUCACCAAGGCUUUGACGGGUAGCCGGCCUGAGAGGGUGACCGGUCACACUGGGACUGAGACACGGCCCAGACUCCUACGGGAGGCAGCAGUGGGGAAUAUUGGACAAUGGGCGGAAGCCUGAUCCAGCAACGCCACGUGAGGGAUGACGGCCUUCGGGUUGUAAACCUCUUUCAGUACCGACGAAGCGAGAGUGACGGUAGGUACAGAAGAAGGACCGGCCAACUACGUGCCAGCAGCCGCGGUAAUACGUAGGGUCCGAGCGUUGUCCGGAAUUAUUGGGCGUAAAGGGCUCGUAGGCGGUUUGUCGCGUCGGGAGUGAAAACAGCGGGCUUAACUCGUUGCUUGCUUCCGAUACGGGCAGACUAGAGGUAUGCAGGGGAGAAUGGAAUUCCUGGUGUAGCGGUGAAAUGCGCAGAUAUCAGGAGGAACACCGGUGGCGAAGGCGGUUCUCUGGGCAUUACCUGACGCUGAGGAGCGAAAGUGUGGGGAGCGAACAGGAUUAGA